rnacentral:rRNA from 1 species
CUUUACUGUAACUUGAAAUUGAAAUUGGACUUUAUUCGCGCAGUAUAGGUGGAAGGCGUUGAAAGUAAUCUUGCGGGAUUAGUGGAGCCAUCAGUGAGAUACCACUCCUAUAAUGUUAGAUUUCUAACUUUGGAUCAUGAUCUGGUCAAAGAACAGUUUCAGGCGGGCAGUUUGACUGGGGCGGUCGCCUCCCAAAUGGUAACGGAGGCGUACAAAGGUUUCCUCUGAACGGGUAGAAAUCGUAUCUAGAGUGUAAAGGCAUAAGGAAGCUUGACUGUGAGACCUACAAGUCGAGCAGGGACGAAAGUCGGUCUUAGUGAUCUGACGGUGCUGAGUGGAAAGGCCGUCACUCAACGGAUAAAAGUUA